rnacentral:tRNA from 1 species
GGGAAGGUGGCUCAGUGGUAGAGUGCUUGCCUUGCAUGCAUGAGACCCUCCCU